AUGAAUAUCCUCAGUUGGAACUGCCGAGGAGGUGGGAACCCUCGGGCAGUUCAUGAUCUCGUGAGUCUAGUACAGGCUCACUCCCCUAGUGUCGUUUUUCUUUGUGAAAUUAGGCAGUCGAAAAAUAAAAUGAAGAGAUAUCGUGCUCGGUUAGGUCUUAGUGGUUUUGAUGCUUUUGAUAGUGUUGGUCUUAGUGGUGGUCUUGCCUUGUUUUCGCACAAGUCAUCGAGUCUUGAUGUAAAAACAAUAAAUGAAAGAUAUAUCGAUGCGCAUGUGAAUGGUGUGGCAGGUGAGCCACCCUGGAGGCUUACUUGCGUCUACGGCGAACCCUGUAUGGAGGACCGUCAUCGCAUGUGGUCAUCCCUACGGGAUCUUCAUCAACAUACCGACAUGCCGUGGGUUGUCAUUGGCGAUUUUAAUGAAGCCAUGUGGAGUUUUGAACACUUCUCCGAAACCCCACGUGGGGCGGGUCAGAUGAUUGAUUUUCGUGAUGUUCUUGAAGUUUGUGGGUUGGGAGACCUUGUUUUUGCAGGGCUUCCUUACACGUAUGAAAAUCGCCGAGGAGGGCGGGCGAACAUCAAGGUUCGCCUUGACCGUGUUGUGGCAAACAACUGCUGGAGAGAUAUUUUUGGUCAUGCCAAGGUGGAGCACGUCGUGGCCCCUAGCUCUGACCACCUUCCCAUUCUGCUUUGGUGCGCCUUGGAGGAGCCAGUGCAGAUAUCGGGGAGGAGAUGCCGCCAGUAUGAGGUUAUGUGGGAGAGAGAUCAUACUCUCCGAGAGGUAUAA
rnacentral:rRNA from 1 species